rnacentral:lncRNA from 1 species
CCCUAAUUCUAAUUUUCCCUACCCCUCCCCAAGUUGACAAGUGAUUCAAUACAUUAAACAUGUGCAAUUCUUCUAUACAUAUUUCCACAAAUAUCAUGUUGCACAAGAAAAAUCAGAUCUAAAAGGGAAAAAAACCCGAGAAAGCAAAAUGCAAGCAAACAACAAAAAAGAAUGAAAAUACCAUGUUGUAGUUGAUAUUCAGUUCCCACUGUCCUCUCCCUUGGUACUGAUAGCUUUAUUCACCACAAGACCAUUGGAACUACUCUGAAUCACCUAAUUAUUGAUGAGAGCCUUGUUCAUCAGAAUUGGUCAUCACAUUAUCUUACUGUUAGCAUGUAUAAUGAUCUCCUGAUGUUGCUCAUUUCACUUAGCAUCAGUUCAUGUAAGUCUGUCUAGGCCUUUCUGAAAUCAUCCUGCUGAGCAUUUCUUACAGAACAAUAAUAUUUCAUAACUUUCAUAUUUCAUAAUUUAUUCAGCCAUUCCCCAUCUGAUGGGCAUCCACUCAAUUUCCAGUUUCUUGCCACUACAAAGAUUUUUGCACAUGUAGGUCUCUUUCCCUCCUUUAUGAAGCCCAGUAGAAACACUGCUGGAUCAAAGGGUAUGCACAGUUUGAUAACUUUUUGGGCAUAAGUCCAGAUUGCUCUCCAGAAUGGUUGGAUCAGUUCACAACUCCACCAACAAUGUAUCAAUGUCCCAGUUUUCCCACAUCCCCUUCAACAUUCGUCAUUAUCUUUUUCUGUCAUUUUAGCCAAUCUGAGAAAUGUGUAGUGAUACCUCAGAGUUGUCUUUUUUUUUUUUUUUAAUUAUAGCUUUUUUAUUGACAGAACACAUGCAUGGGUAAUUUUUUACAACACUGUCCCUUGCACUUACUUCUGUUUCAACUUUUCCCUUCCCUCCCUCUACUCCCUCCCCUAGAUGGCAGGCAGUCUUAUACAUGUUAAAGUAUAGCCUAGAUACAAUAUAUGUGUGCAGAUCUGUACAGUUCUCUUGUUGCACAAGAAGAAUUGGAUUCAGAAGGUAAAAAUAACCUGGGAAGAAAAACAAAAAUACAGGUAUUUUUUCCCAUUCAUUUCCCAAUGUUCCUUCUCUGGGUGUAGCUGAUUCUGUCCAUCAUUGAUCAAUUGGUACUGAAUUAGAUCUUCUCUUUGUUGAAGAUAUCCACUUCCAUCAGAAUACAUCCUCAUACAGUACUGUUGUUGAAGUGUAUAAUGAUCUCCUGACUCUGCUCAUUUCACUCAGCAUCAGUUCAUGUAAGUCUUUCCAAGCCUCUCUGUAUUCAUCCUGCUGGUCAUUUCUUUCAGAUUCCAUAACAUUCAUAUACCACAAUUUACCCAACCAUUUUCCAAUUGAUGAACAUCCAUUCAAUUUCCAGUUUCUAGCCACUAUGAAAAUGACUGCCACAAACAUUUUUGCACAUACGGGGCCCUUUCCCUUCUUUAAUAUCUCUUUGGGAUAUAAGUAGUAACACUUCUGGAUCAAAGGGUAUGCACAGUUUGACAACUUUUUGAGUAUAGUUCCAAAUUGUUCUCCAGAAUGGUUGGAUUUGUUCACAACUCCACCAACAAUGUAUCAGUGUCCCAGUUUUCCUGCAUGCCCUCCAACAUUCAUCAUCUUUUCCUGUCAUCUUAGCUAAUCUGACAGGUGUGUAGUGGUAUCUCAGAGUUGUCUUAAUUUGCAUUUCUCUGACCAGUAGUAAUUUGGAACACCCUUUCAUAUGGCUAGAAAUAGUUUCAAUUUCAUCAUCCGAAAAUUGUCUGUUCAUAUCCUUUGACCAUUUAUCAAUUAGAGAAUGGCUUGAUUUCUUGUAAAUUAGAGUCAAUUCUCUAUAUAUUUUGGAAAUGAGGCCCUUAUCAGAACCUUCAACUGUAAAAAUGUUUUCCCAGUUUAUUGCUUCCCUUCUGAUCUUGUCUGCAUUAGUUUUGUUUGUACAAAAAGCUUUAUAAUUUGAUAUAAUCAAAAUUUUCUAUUUUGUGAUCAAUAAAGAUCAUUAAUCUCUAGUUCUUCUUUGGUCACAAAUUCCUUCCUUCUCCACAAGUCUGAGAGGUAAACUAUCCUAUGUUCCUCUAAUUUAUUUAUAAUCUCAUUCUUUAUGCCUAAAUCAUUAUCUUGAUGUAUGGUGUUAAGUGUGGGUCCAUGCCUAGUUUCUGCCAUACUAAUUUCCAGUUUUCCUAGCAGUUUUUGUCAAAUAGUGAAUUCUUAUCCCAAAAGUUGGGAUCUUUGAGUUUCUCAAACACUAGAUUGCUAUAGUUAUUGACUAUUUUGUCCUGUGAACCUAACCUAUUCCACUGAUCAACUAGUCUAUUUCUUAGCCAAUACCAAAUGGUUUUGGUGAGCACUGCUUUAUAAUAUAGUUUUAGAUCAGGUACAAGCUAGGCCACCUUCAUUUGAUUUUUUUUUCAUUAGUUCCCUUGAAAUUCUUGACCUUUUGUUCUUCCAGAUGAAUUCUAUUAUUUUUUCUAGGUCAUUAAAAUAGUUUUUGAGGAGUCUGAUUGGUAUAGCAGUAAAUAGAUUAGUUUAGGUAAUAUUGUCAUCUUUAUUUUAUUCUCUUGACCUAUAUGAGAGCACUUAGUAUUUUUCUAGUUGUUUACAUCUGACAUUUGUGUGAAAAGUGUUUUGUAAUUUUGCUCAUAUAGUUCUGGACUUUCCCUUGGCAGAUAGAUUCUCAAAUAUUUCAUACUAUCGCCAGUUAUUUUAAAUAGAAUUCUCUUUGUAUCUCUUGCUGUUGGAUUUUGUUAGUGAUGUAUAAAAAUGCUGAGGAUUUAUGUGGAUUUUGUAUCCUGCAACUUUGCUAAAGUUGUGGAUUAUUUCUAAUAGCUUUUUAUAGAAUCUCUGGGGUUCUCAAAGUAUACCCUCAUAUCAUUUGCAAAGAGUGAUAAUUUGGUUUCCUCAUUACCUACUUUAAUUUCUUUAAUCUCUUUUUCAUCUCUUAUUGCAGAAGCUAGCAUUUCUAAUACAAUAUUGAAUAGUAACGGUGAUAGUGGGUGACCUUGUUUCACUCCUGACUUUAUUGGGAAUGGUUCCAGUUUGUGACCAUGACAUAUGAUGUUUACUGAUGGCUUUAAAUGGAUGCUACUAUUUUAAGGAAAAGUCCAUUUAUUCCUAUAAUCUGUAGUGUUUUUUUAAUAGGAAUGGAUGUUGGAUUUUAUCAAAUGCUUUUUCUGCAACUAUUGAGAUGAUCUUUAUGGUUUUUGUUAAUUAAGUCAUUGAUAUAGUCAAUUAUGUUAAUAGUUUUCCUAAUAUUGAACCAGUCCUGCAUUCCUGGUAUAAAUCCUACUUGGUCAUGAUGCAUUAUCCUGGGGGUGAUUGUAAUCUUUUUGCUAAUAUUUUAUUCAAGAUUUUUACAUCAAUGUUCAUUAGGGAGAUUGGUCAAUAAUUUUCUUUCUCUGUUUUUGUCCUAUCUGGUUUAAGUAUCAGUGCCAUGUCUGUGUCAUAAAAGGAAUUUGGUAGGACUCCUUCAAUCCCUAUUUUUUCAAAUAAUUUAUAUAGCAUUGAAGUUAAUUGUUCUUUAAAUGUUUGGUAGAAUUCACAUGUAAAUCCAUCUGGUCCUGGAGAUUUUUUCUUAGGGAGUUGAUUAAUAGCUUGUUCUGUUUCUUUUUCUAAAAUGGGACUAUUUAACCAAUUUACUUUUUUCUCUGUUAAUCUGGGCAACCUAUAUUUUUGAACUUCCAUUUCAUUCAAGUUAUCAAAUUUAUUGGUAUAAAUUUGGGCAAAGUAAAUCCUAAUUAUUGCUCUAAUUUCCUUUUCAUUAGUGGAAAGUUCUCUCUUUUCAUUUUUAAAACUAACAAUUUUAUUUUCCUCUUAUCUUUUUCUAAUCAAAUUUACCAAGGGUUUAUCUAUUUUGUUGGUUUUUUUCAUAGAACCAACUCUUAGUUUUAUUAAUUCAAUAGUUUUUUUUACUUUCAAUUUUAUUAAUCUCUCCUUUUAUUUUUAGAAUUUCAAGUUUAGUGUUUGACUGGGGGUUUUUAAUUUGUUUUAAUUUGUUCCUUUAGUUCCUUUAGCUUUUUUAGUUGCAAGCCCAAUUCAUUGCUUUUCUCUUUCUAGAGAUAUAAAAUUUCCCCUUAUUACCACUUUGGCUGCAUCCCACACAUUUUGGUAUGACGUCUCAUUGUCAUUUUCUUGGGUGAAAUUAUGUCUAUGAUUUGCUAUUCUUUAGUAUGAGAUUAUUUAGUUUCCAUUUUUUGGUCUAUUUUCCCCUGACUUUUUAUUGAAUGUAAUUUUCAUUGCAUCGUGGUUUGAAAAGGAUGCAUUUACUAUUUCUGCCUUUCUGCAUUUGAAUUUGAGGCUUUUAUGUCCCAAUAUAUGGUCAAUUUUUGUAUAAGUUCCAGAAACUGCUGAGAAGAAAGUGUACUCCUUUCUGUCUCCAUUUAGUUUUCUCUAAAGAUCUAUCAUACCUAACUUUUCUAGUAUUCUAUUUAUCUCUUUGAUUUCUUACUUUGUGGUUUGAUUUAGCUAAUUCUGAGAGUUCAUGGUUGAGAUCUCCCACUAUUAUAGUUUUGCUGUCUUUUUCUUCUUGCAGCUCUCUUAAUUUCUCUUUUAAGAAUUUAGAUGCUAUACCACUUGGUACAUAUAUGUUUAAUACUGAUAUUGCUUCAUUAUCUAUGCUACCCUUUAGCAAGAUAUAGUGCCCUUAUCUCUUUUAAUUAGAUCAAUUUUUGCUUUUGUUUGAUCUGAGAUUAGGAUGGCUACCGCUGCUUUUUUUUUCCCCACCUGAAGCACAGUAGAUUCUGCUCCAGCUUUUUACCUUGACUCUAUAUGUAUCUCCCUACUUCAAGUGUAUUUCCUGUAAACAACAUAUUGUAGGAUUCUGGCUUUUAAUCCAGUGUCCUAUCCACUUCCACUUUAUGGGGGAGUUUACCCUAUUCACAUUUAUGGUUAAAAUUACUAAUUCUAUAUUACUUGCCAUCUUGUUAAUCCCUGCUUAUACUUUUCUUCUUUCCUUUCCCUUUACCCCCCUCCCUAGUAUUAAACUUGUGAGCACCACCUACCUCUCACAGCCCUCCCUUUGUAGGAUUCCUCCCCCUACCUUAAAGUUCCUCCCCCUUUCUUACCCCUUUUCCUCACAAUUUCUGUAUUCCCUUCUGCUUAGCUUACUCCUUCCCUUUUCACUUUCCCCUCCCACUUUUCAACUGAGGUGGGAGAAGUUUCUCUGUAAAUCAAAUAUGUCUUAUAUUUUUCUCUUUAAGCUAAUUUUGAUGAGAGUAAGAUACACACUAUGUUCAUCCCCCUCACUUCUUUCCCUCAGAUAUAAUAGGUGAAUCAGUUCUCCAAAAGUCCCCACAGUUGUGAAUCAUAACACACUUGAAGGAAUUGCAAAUCAGCUUCUACUGAUGUAGAUGUUGCUGGUGGAUUGGGAAUAAAAUAAAUCAGAGGCAAGAGAGAAGAGAAGAGAUGUCAGAGAAUGCAAUUGCCUCUCAGUCUCCUUACAUUGUUAUCCUCUCGCAUGAAGGGAUCUGUUCUGCUGUCAGAAUUAGAUUCCUAGCAGCCAUUAGCAGGUGGCUCCUGUAACACAUUGCCUCAAUUGCUACCCAACCUUAAUCAUUGAAUGGGUAUGGCUUCUAACUGAAGUCUGUUGAAGGUCUUAGCUUGUCUCCCAUUGCAUUCAGGGCCAUCUCUAGUCAUCUUGAUCUAUGUCUUGCCACCGGAUCCAGAUGGUUCUGGAGGGGAAAGUGAGGCAUGUGACUUUGCCCAGCCCUCCCUUCCGUAAAGCCAAUUCACUUGCAUGUCAUGACCCCACCUUCCUGAUAUCAUGGUUCUCUUGGAGAAGGAAGGACAAACAAUAGCUCUAACCAUAUAACUCUCCAAGUCCGUGUCUUCCAGGGCUUGAGUUCUUCCCUUGUCCAUUGCAGAAACUCUCUCUGAUCCAAUCAAGGUACAGAGUACCUCUAAUCAGAGUAGCCCAAUCUCUUGAACUCACAAGACUACCUCCAAGGGUAGACAUAAGGACCAUAUAUUCAGUCAUCUCAGGUCAGGGAAGAAAACACAAGGCAGACAAAGUCAGCCAGGGGCUGCAAGGCCAGGGCUUGUCUGGCCAUGUGUUGGCAGGUGAGAGGCUACCAGAUGAGCAGCUCACAAUCUCACAGGAUAUCUAGUAGGGGGAAAAAACAAAACAAAACAAAAAACUGCUCACUUCAUGGGGGGAGGAGGGGUUGAGGAAAGAAUCAGCUGCAAACUGGCUUACUCUUUUAAUAUAGCACUACACACAUCUUUUUUCUAUUUGGGGGCAAGAGAAUCAUUCAGGAAAGAUCAUUCAGGAUUUGCUGCACUAUACAAAAGCACCAAGUCAUUUCAGAGCUGAGUUACAUACAUGGUUAACUGGAAACAGGCCAGGAGGGACUCCUCCUGGAGUUCUCAGAAAACUUAACUCAUGAUCACCCAGGGCUAUAUCAUUUUUGAGAUACUAUCUGGCUCUUUUUCCUACUGUUCAGGGGUGUCAUUUUCCUUGAAGCUUCAAGUUACUACCACCUUAUAGCCAUGUCUGCCUUCAAGUUGCAGUUCUGUUCCCUCAACCCAGAAUACAUUGAGAGACGAUGUGGUGUAAAGGAUAAUGUACUCAAACUGGGAUCUGAGGGAGAAAAAAUAGAUUUUCAUUAAUUUCCUAAAAUUAAAUUAUUUAAAAAAAUAAGAAUUGAGGUCAGAAGUUGUGAGUUUGAAUCCUGUUUCAUACACCUGCAAGCUAUGUAACCUUAAAAAACUCACUUUACUUUUCAAUGCUUCAAGAUUCUCCUCUAUAAAAUGAUUUAAUUGUUGCUAGUAUCCCUUUGCACUCUAAAAUAUAUGAUACCAUGGAUCAUAUGGCUACAUCAACUGAAUUGUGAAUGAUAUGAAAUCUUCUUUUGAAAUCUUCAUUAGAAUGUGAUCCUCUUUUCUCUUUGUUAUCUUCAGCAUUUAGCACUUUACAACACUUAAUAAAUGCUUCAUGUAUUCAUUCUUACAUAAGUAUAAUACAUUAUAGAAAAGGAGAUUUUGCUUCAUAUUAGAAGCAUAGACAAUUGAUUGUAAACUUCUCUAAAGAAAGAAGUAUAAUUUCCAAUUGGAGGCAAAAUCAAAGAAGACUUCAUGGAUGUGGUGGCAUUUGAGGCAGACCUUGAAAACGCUAGUAUUUUAAUAAGUAAGGAUAGGUGUACCAUUUCAGGCAUAAAGUGGCAAGAAAUGGUAGUUUAUCUUUAUGGAUACAUGGACAGUUCAUUUAUUAAUGUAACAUGCCUUUGACUAUGUCCAUAGGGCAGGAUGACUCUAGGAUUUGGAGAGGGUAAAUAUGUUGCUGGCUGGAGUGGACUGAUCCAGUUUCCCAUAUUUAGGGAUCUGCUCUAGUGUGACUUUGGGUUAAGGUAGCUCAUGGGGAAAGGAAGCAGAAUAUAUUAAUAUGGUCUAUGUAGACUUCUGGAUUUUGACACAAUUCAUCACAUAAGAGAGAAGGAGAAAGGGCAGGUAGGUGACACAAUGGAUAACAGCACCAACCCUAAAGUCAGGGAGACCUGAGUUCAAAUCUGCUCUCAGCCACUUAACACUUCCUAGCUGUGUGAUCCUGGGCAAAUCACUUAACCUCAACUGCCUCAGAAAAAAAAAAAAAAAAAAAAAAAAAAAAAAGAGAGAGAGAGAGAGAGAGAGAAAGAGAGAGAGAGGAGAAAACAAAAUCAGUAUCUCUAGUUAUAUUAAUCUAUAUCUCUAACGUAAAUGCUAUUAAUUUUAAAUAAAUACCAAU